CCUACGGGCGGCAGCAGUGAGGAAUAUUGGUCAAUGGACGAGAGUCUGAACCAGCCAAGUAGCGUGAAGGAUGACUGCCCUAUGGGUUGUAAACUUCUUUUAUAUGGGAAUAAAACGUUCCACGUGUGGGAUUUUGUAUGUACCAUAUGAAUAAGGAUCGGCUAACUCCGUGCCAGCAGCCGCGGUAAUACGGAGGAUCCGAGCGUUAUCCGGAUUUAUUGGGUUUAAAGGGAGCGUAGGUGGAUUGUUAAGUCAGUUGUGAAAGUUUGCGGCUCAACCGUAAAAUUGCAGUUGAAACUGGCAGUCUUGAGUACAGUGGAGGUGGGCGGAAUUCGUGGUGUAGCGGUGAAAUGCUUAGAUAUCACGAAGAACUCCGAUUGCGAAGGCAGUUCACUGGACUGCAACUGACACUGAGGCUCGAAAGUGUGGGUAUCAAACAGGAUUAGAUACCCCAGUAGUC
rnacentral:rRNA from 1 species